UACGUAGGGGGCGAGCGUUGUCCGGAAUCAUUGGGCGUAAAGCGCAUGUAGGCGGCCACGUAAGUCGAAUGUGAAAUCCCGAGGCUCAACUUCGGAAAUGCAUCCGAUACUGCGUGGCUUGAGGAAGGUAGAGGAGAGUGGAAUUCCCGGUGUAGCGGUGGAAUGCGCAGAUAUCGGGAGGAACACCAGCGGCGAAGGCGGCUCUCUGGGCCUUUCCUGACGCUGAGAUGCGAAAGUGUGGGUAGCGAACAGG
rnacentral:misc_RNA from 1 species